GACGAACGCUGGCGGCGUGCCUAAUACAUGCAAGUUGAGCGAUGAAGCUUGGUGCUUGCACCAAUUUGAAGAGCAGCGAACGGGUGAGUAACGCGUGGGGAAUCUGCCUUUGAGCGGGGGACAACAUUUGGAAACGAAUGCUAAUACCGCAUAACAACUUUAAACAUAAGUUUUAAGUUUGAAAGAUGCAAUUGCAUCACUCAAAGAUGAUCCCGCGUUGUAUUAGCUAGUUGGUGAGGUAAAGGCUCACCAAGGCGAUGAUACAUAGCCGACCUGAGAGGGUGAUCGGCCACAUUGGGACUGGGACACGGCCCAAACUCCUACGGGAGGCAGCAGUAGGGAAUCUUCGGCAAUGGACGAAAGUCUGACCGAGCAACGCCGCGUGAGUGAAGAAGGGUUUCGGAUCGUAAAACUCUGUUGGUAGAGAAGAACGUUGGUGAGAGUGGAAAGCUCAUCAAGUGACGGUAACUACCCAGAAAGGGACGGCUAACUACGUG
rnacentral:rRNA from 1 species